GCAAGUCGAACGAUGAAAUUCCAGCUUGCUGGAAUGGAUUAGUGGCGGACGGGUGCGUAACGCGUGGGAAUCUACCUUAUAGUGGGGGAUAGCCCGGAGAAAUCCGGAUUAAUACCGCAUAAUCUCUACGGAGGAAAGUGGGGGAUCUUCGGACCUCACGGCUAUUGAUGAGCCCGCGUUAGAUUAGCUAGUUGGUAGGGUAAUGGCCUACCAAGGCAACGAUCUAUAGCUGGUUUGAGAGGAUGAUC
rnacentral:rRNA from 1 species